rnacentral:lncRNA from 1 species
CAGCAGGAGGGGUAACACGGCCCCAGGGUAAACCCCUCUGUUGCCCAGGACUAUGGACAUAUGUAUGGGCCUAUAGGCGACUCGCCUUACAUGCUUCCCACAUCGUAAAUUCCGCUUAAGGAUACUAGUAAAAAUGUAAACAUUAGCAACCUACAGUAUCUUGGUAUCUCGGGAAGCAUCAUUUGCCAUUUCAACCUUAAGGUCUCUAAUGAUGGCAUCACACAUGCAAGGAAUAAGCAAUAAGUACCUAUCUCUUGGCCUGUUACGAGAGCUUGUAGAUGAGUACAGGAGAAGGCGUGAAUGCUGGCAGCACAGGUCUUCACUAAAUGGGUGCCUUUGGUUGUCAUCCAUUGUUAUAUAAUAGUUCUCAUUGUGAAAACAUCAGGCAAUCAGUCCUGAGGUUGGCCAACAUAUUACCGGCCAGGGGUGGUCAUACACAUAUGUGCAUGCUGCUUUGCCUCCAUUGAUACUCCUGACAAGCACAUUCAAGCUUAAUCACAGCUAAUUAGCUUGUAAGCUCAUAUAAUGCACACUCUUGGCUGGUCUUAUAAUUAGAUCGACAUGCUAAAAUAAGCGAUGACCACUAUCACCAAUUCAGUCAAUCAUAUUCCUAUUGACCAAACAUACAAUGGACACAUACAAUCCACAUUGCAAUACUGGUGUGUAUGGUGGCAAAAAUGGUGGCGUCCUAGUAUUUGCGUGCAUGGACCACUACAACAAGACUGUUGACUGUCCUUCUGCAGCACAGGCCCACACUUAUGAUGGACCUCAUUUAGCAAGACAUCCAGUGACAUCCGAGGAUUUUUACCGCCUUACACUUUGCCGGGUGUGGCCAUAUUCGGGAUCAAACAUCCGGAUCUCCCAACCAAGACCCUAGACACUCUUAGGAGAGGCUCUCCUAAGNNNNNNNNNNNNNNNNNNNNNNNNNNNNNNNNNNNNNNNNNNNNNNNNNNCCUUCAGGUUUUUCAGGCACAGAGACAGUCCAGUCGGUUCAGCUACUUUUUUUUAUAGUUUUUGUGCGAUAUUCGCUCACUGAGUCGCCACACCCGAAAUACCACUCGAACGUGAUCGGUGGGGGUUGAACCGACGACUUCAGGAUCGUGAAUUUUCACGAGGUCUCGAUACCAAAUGUAGCAGCUGACCGCUGAAAAGGUCUCUGAGUUGCUGGCGGUCGCGCUCUGCAUGUAUUUAUAGCACCGUACUGUGUACCGGCUGCUACACUUUGAUAGGGAUAUUUAUUGGCUUCACUGGUGGCUUCUCGUGGUUCCCAAUUUGCUCUGCAUAUGUACACCUGUUCGUCUGCCUCCUUGCAUCUAGGCUGCAGCUGUGUGCCUUAUCCUUAGGUUUAGGUUUCUGAACAAGGCAUGCUUUGGUGCAGCAAUGUCGAUAAUUGGGCCUUCACAAGUGAUUGGUGAAGACAUGUGCGUUUGUGAGUGUAAACAGGCGACACAGGCGCAGGUGAAUGUAAACAUGGGUCUGUUACCCAUCAGUAGUGUAUUACCCUGACCCCUUUGUUACCCCUCGGUAAGGGGUUACCCCUACCCCGGGGUUAGGUUACCCACCUCCAUACAUAGCCACAUGGGUAACCCCUACCCCUACACCCUGGGUUAUGCCUUGUUUUAUGGGGGGGUUACCCCUUGUUUUAUGCCAUAGGGAAGGAUUGGAGCAAACUUAAUUAGUCUAUUUAAAAUAAAUUUCCAAGCAGCUAAUAUACUUUUGAGAUGUUAACAAAACAUUACUCUAUAACUAAAUGUUAAUGUAAUGACUUCUUCCUAAAUAUAAUCUUAAAACAAAAACAAAGAAAUAAAAUAGACAAACAAAAAGACGAAAAGACGAAGACCAGCAUAAUGGACAGCUCAUGAUGACACAGGAAGAAAGCAGCAAAAUGAUAAAAAACGGGAACUUUCUAUGGUAUGAGAGCAAACAAAAUAAUGACUUUGCUAGCUAGCUCGGCUGCUGAGAGGGCCGGCAACUAGGUUGCAGGCUCAUGAGCAGCGUUAUUUUUUUGCGGAAUAUAUUCCGAAUUCGGAAUAAAAAAAUGUACGUGGUCCUGAAAGUUAAGAAUAAAUAAUGUUCCGACCGUGCAAGUUCAUUCCUCCAACUGUUUCUGACCAGACCAAACGCUGCAAAACAUUCGGACCCGAAGCUCCCAAAGCGUGUUAGGUCAUUAAAGCAGAUAUAAAAAAUCACUGAAGCUAUUAGCGACGUUUAUGAAGACGGUAUAGAGGUCGUAGGGAAUGUGGGCGCAAUGCUGCAGCCAGCCGACGACAAUGAUGCCACUCCGGUUGUCAACAGCGAGCAGGCCAAACAUCAGCGUUCGUCAUAUGGAGACAAUCACGAUGGUCCAGGAAACAGGCUGCGUUUGGUGGUUCCGGUCCAUUGCUGCUAUGCAUCAUUACUUUGCAACCGGAAAGUGGANNNNNNNNNNNNNNNNNNNNNNNNNNNNNNNNNNNNNNNNNNNNNNNNNNNNNNNNNNNGCUUAGGAUACUAGUAAAAAUGUAAACAUUAGCAACCUACAGUAUCUUGGUAUCUCAGAAAGCAUCAUUUGCCAUUUCAACCUUAAGGUCUCUAAUGAUGGCAUCACACAUGCAAGGAAUAAGCAAUAAGUACCUAUCUCUUGGCCUGUUACG